UUGGAAAGUUUGUCAUUCCAUUUGUUUAUUAGAAACUAAUUUAUUAUCAAGCAAAACAUUUUGAUCAAGUUCAAGUUAAAGUGUGCUGCCAUUGAACAUAUUUUGAUACACUACCAAAAAUAAAUAUAAAUAAGGCAUCUGGAGGCACAUUCGUUUAUUUUCACACCUGUGUCUCACACAUUUUCACACCUCUGAUGUUUCUGUGCCUAAGUAUUCAAAUCAGCACACAGCUGUUUUUAUCUUUGGGCAACACAAGCAACUGUUGCUCAUAAGUAUGAAAAAUUGUAAAAUGAAAACUUUAAGAAACAAAGACGGAAACAGAGAACUAAGCUACUUAUAGCGUAUUUCUCCCCAAACCGCACAAUUUAAAGGAAACCCGCACUUGAAUCGAGGUCGAAUGAAGUUGGGCCACCGCUAACAAAUAUGAUCUCCACCAUCUGCCUCAAGUUGAAUCCCAUAGUCUUAAUUUAAUUUUCUGUAUUUUUUAUAGCACACAGUGAGUCAUUUUUUUCGUUGUAAUUUAAGCAAAUAGAUUUCUGUUGACAUCCUCUACAAA